AUGAGACAUACUUCUCUCUCACAACUGGCUGUGAGUUCACUCUUCUUCUUCUUCAGCUAUAAGGCAUUUGUUGAACAGGCAAGAUUCUCUGAUGACAGACCAAUGUCACUUCAGAAAAAAGGAAAAGCUCAAAACACUCUCCAGCACCGGCUUCUGCAAAAACUGCGGGUUCAGCGAUGUCUACCUUCCCAGAAGACCAAAUGAGACACAGACAGGUUGAAAGCAAAGUUAGAGGUUUAUUUCUCAGUGGCCAGAGAGGAUACCAGUGAAGACAGCACUUCAGAGACCUGAAAUCCCACAACUGCAAAUACAGAACCUAUAUAUUAUAUUUUGACAGCUAUUCAAGACACCCACGUUUGCUUCUGAUUGGUUUAGAAUCCAACUAGGAUCCGCUUUGUGGUUAGUCCCAGAUUCCCUCUGAUAUCAUUGCUGGUUGAUCUCCACAAGAACCAUAAAUAAUUUUUAUUGUAUCAUUUUGAAAUUUGUGUCUAUUUAUUGAUCUGGCCGUGAGCAGGAUAUGCGCAGGGAAGAAUGCAAUGGGGCAAGUGAUAAUGGGCUGAAAUGGGUCUUAAUAUUCCAGCUCUUAUAAAUACAAUAAUGUCAGUCCAAAUAAACAAAAGGUGCCUGGGAGGAGAGAAGAGUCCUGUGUAGACAUUGUCCAGGAUCCCACAUUUGCAAAAACAUUAUAGUUCUCCAUAAUGAUUUUUUUUUUUUUGCUGAAGAUUGUUUCACCUUUCACUGAAAUAUUGCUUCCCAUCCACAUCCCAAAAUAGCAAAAAAAUUACUUUUGCAUGUGACUUGAAGUGACCUAAAUAUAUCUGUUAUUUCCUGGAAAAUGGAAAAGAAAUUAGUGAAUCCACAAGUAAGUUAAUUCUGUGUCACCUAUUUAACUAUGUAGCUACAUUGGUUACAUAGCUCCCAAACUCAUUCCUUUCCCCAUUGUUGCUCUACUUGGCAUCAGCCAGGAGUCUGUCCCCCUCGCAACCAGCAGCUGAGUUUUCCACUCCUUCCCAUUAGCCAUUUCUAAGGCAGAAGACCAGGUCCUUGUGGCAUUCCCAUUCAUGGCAGAGAUCACUUGCAUGUGGGAGGUGGAUGGGAACAUCAGUCAUCUGCUUCACAAUUAACAGAGUAACAGAUCCCUGUUGCUUGCAGCAGCUGCUUCUUGGUAAGUAAAGUUUGGAGAACUUUCACAGUCGCUACAUAUGCCUUAAAGAUCAUGAAUACAAAUCAGUCAUGAAUACAUAACUUUAGGAUACCAAUUUGUAACUGCCUUACUAAAUUCCAGCUCAGUACUUUGUAUUCUCUCUCUCUUUAACAACUAUACAGGUGCCAUUAGAAAAUGUGUUUUGUUCAAUUCUGAACAAUGCCAGCAUGCUCUUAGGUAUAUUUAAAUUGUCAGAAGUUGCCCUCCUACCUACUGCAUACCUUUUAAGUCCACUGUGGAGCAAGCCUGCACAGCAGUAAGAAACAAAAUCAUUUGACUUAUUUUUGGCAUCCAUUGUUGUCUUCUGUAACAUAUUUAUGAUUUUAUUUUCUUUUGUUCUGCUUUGUGGGUGCACCAAGACAUGGAUGAGAUUAUAACUAAUUAAUCUUCCAACAUGCCUUUAGAAACUGGGAUAGAAAAUGUUACACAAGCUUUUUAUUAGUAUUUGGCACAACCUCCAGGGUAGUUAUUUCAGGCUCAUUAAUUUGUGGUCUAAUCUGAAAUUUCUAUGGACAAUUUGAAAGAGUAUCGAAGUAACUACAAGCCCUUUGUCAUUACCCUCUGUUUUUUGGAAACAAAGAAGCAAGGACAAAGCAAGACGAUUAAAACAUUAGCACUGCAGUGUUGAAGAAAACCCAAAUGUGGAACAGAUAACAUUGCUUUUGACAAAAGUAAUUUGAAUCAAAAAGAGAUAAAGGGCGAGCAUUAAAUAGUUUUACAUGAAAUCUAAUGGCAUUCAAACAAUUCUACUGAUUCAAGGCACUGGUGCAUUAGUUCAAUUAUUCAUAAUUUCUCAAAUAUAACUUCAGCAGCAUGAUUACAAACAGAAUAGAAAAGGUAUUCCUUCAGAGAGUUAAAGGUGAUACAACUAAUUUGUUGUUUUCCAUGUUCUGAAUACUAAUCCUGAAUAUGUGUGUAUAGCCCAAAUCAGACCAAUAUUGGAUAGUACACAUUGAAAUUCACAGGCAAAAGAAAAAAUAGAUCUUCCAUGCUUGUUGAUGGUUGCAUUUUAUUAUUUAAAGAGGUUUUUGGUUAUCCUUUUUCAUAAAAAGGCCAACACAGUUCAGUCUUUAUAUUGUAUACUGACUUUCUUCAGAGUUUACACAUUCAAUCUAACAACAGUAGACAUUUCCUCUUUAUAAAAAGGUCAUAUAUAUGGAAGGAACCUGAUGAUUUUCAGGGGGUAAACUCUUUCAAAUGUUGGUCAUCCAAACUGAAUCUGAGAAACCUCAGUUUCUGCCUGUGCUGAUGGAUCCUAUUGUGACGGCACGAGUGGCGCCAUCUAUAUGUCAAACUGUAAGUUGCAAGAUUUGAAUUGUUGUAUCAUGCCUGAUUUUGCCCUUACCCUGUAAAUGUAGUUGGAUUGGUUAUUUAUAUCUGUCAAUCAAUGUUGUUUGUACCUGUUAUAUUGCUCACCCAGCUCAACUGUUUGGCUCCACCUCUUCCUGGAGUAGAACUGUGUUUCCUCCUUUUCAUUCCACCAGCAAGCUCUCUACCAUGGAGGUGAGAAAGAGAUUUGGCUCUGAAAGCCCUUGAAAAGUUACCUCUCAGCACCAAUUCUGAGAUUCUUACCCUUGGGACUCACACUUCAUGUUCAGGGCCAACCUGAAUAACGUUGAGGAGUCUCAAGCGCCUUCACAUCAGUCCUUUGGCAACAGAGGAAGACUGUGUCUUCAGACAUAGGUCAUUGGACUGAGGCUGAGUUUACUUCGGCAUUCACAGCCAGAGAAAGAGGAAUCUGGAAAAGCUCCACGGACUUAAAACAAUCAAAGACUGUAAUGUAUAUUUUCUUUUUCCCCCUUUAUGGACAAUAAACCCAGUUUUUGAGUUAUCUACAGUGUUUUGGUCCUUGGGAGUUCCAGUUUCCCUAAAGGAGGGCAAGAAGCAAUCCCCUGGGGAAAGAUGUCACGUCCACACCUAUCACAACCCACCAUGGUCUGCUGCAUCAGUCAUACUACAUUAUAUUGAAAUAGAAGAGAUGGGGGGAUUUUGAUAGAACAGAAAAAAUAAGUUGGCAUUUGGACAUUUUAUCACGGGAGACUGACAGUCCUUCUGACUCACAAGGAGAAAUUGUUUGAACAUUAGGUCUGUGACAGACACCAUGGCUCAGUCAAGUGACAAGGAGAUAAGUUGAAAGCUUCUGUUAAAAGAGAAGCUAUUGCUGCUGUCAGAGCAAAGCAGGGCACUAAGCUCAUUCAAUUGAUAAUCCAUGUCAACAUUCUCUUAAGGUUGAGUGCACAGAUUUGGUACACAAGGAUUACAUCCAGUUCUGACUGGAGUGCUGCAGGUAAUAUAUGUAUGCCAAUGUAUACACGAGUGCAAUGCACACAUAUACUUAUCAUAUAUUGUUUUCACUGACUUGUUUGUUUGUUUGCUUAUCUCAGUGGUUCUCAACCUGUGGGUCCCCAGGUGUUUUGGCCUAUAACUCCCAGAAAUCCCAGCCAGUGUACCAGCUGUUAGGAUUUCUGGGAGUUGAAGGCCAAAAUAUCUAGGGACCCACAGGUUGAGAACCACUGGUUUAUCUGCAGUCUUUGAAGCAAGCUGGGGAGUUGGGGAAAAUGGCAAGUCUUCUGUUCUUAGGGACUGCAUAGGUAGCUAUUGAAGGCAGAAUGAUCCAAGAAAGUAUAUCCUUAGCUUAAGACUGCACACCAUGUUAUAUUGGGAUAGUUCUCACAAUUACUCUCUGUUUACAUGCAUGUAUAGCUGUCGUGAGUAAGCAACCUACUCAAGACUAGUGUCCUAUCAUGCAAAAAGUUGUCUUGUGAUAAAAGCAGAACUGGAAGCUGGUGCACUGUGUAGCUUAGCCGAUCAUAGCUCUUGGAACAUUGACCAGAAUAGUUGCUGGAGAAGGGCCAGGCUGUGGCACAGCUGGUUAGUAGCCAGCAGCAAUAAAUCACCACUGACCGUGAGGUCAUUAGUUCAAAGCCUGGGUUGUGGUUAAAGCUCCUGACCAUUAAUAGCCUAGCUUGCUGCCAACUUAAGCAGCUCGAAAACAGAUGUGUCUGUAAGUAGAGAAUUCUAGAGACCUCUUAAUGCGGGGAGGCUAAUAUAACU
ensembl:lncRNA